rnacentral:rRNA from 1 species
UACGUAGGGUGCGAGCGUUAAUCGGAAUUACUGGGCGUAAAGGGAGCGUAGGCGGAUAGUUCAGUCAGAGGUGAAAGCCCAGGGCUCAACCUUGGAACUGCCUUUGAUACUGGCUAUCUUGAGUUUGGGAGAGGUGUGUGGAACUCCGAGUGUAGAGGUGAAAUUCGUAGAUAUUCGGAAGAACACCAGUGGCGAAGGCGACACACUGGCCCAAUACUGACGCUGAGGCUCGAAAGCGUGGGGAGCAAACAGG